rnacentral:lncRNA from 1 species
ACACAUCUAUCUGGUGACACAAAAUAAUAACGGUUCAGAUAUAAGUUUAGGUUUAAAACGCACGCAUGACAAACUCUAACCAUAAACUAUAACCGGGCAAAACAUAGCCCCCGAUCUUAUCCCACAUCGCAUACACAGGUUAAUUACUCCUCUCGCCAGCGGCAAGGAGCAGAAAGUUGUGUGGCACUACUUGCACGUAAUGUUUAUUAAUUCCUUCCACAAAUAAUACAUGCAUGUCUCCUUCCAUGAUUAAAUACAUGCACCAGCUCUCCGAUCUCAUUACACAUGCUCCGUAUUAACAGAAAUUAUAGAGAGAAAUCAACGAUAUCUCCAAAUACAGAGCAUAUACGUCCUACUUGCAGGUAAUGUUCAUUAACUCCUUCCACAAAUACAUGCAUGUCUCCUUCCAUGAUUAAAUACAUGCACCAGCUCUCCGAUCUCAUUACACAUGCUCUGUAUUAACAGAAAUUAUAGAGAGAAAUCAACGAUAAACUUGAAAUUUAGAUCUCCAAAUACAGAGCAUAUACGUCCUCUCCUUACAAGGUGACAACACAUGUAACCUUCUUUGACAAUAGAACAAUGAUUUUAGAUGAUUUAAAUCCUUUGUUUGAAAACAAUCCAUAGGAAAAAGAAUCUUAUCCGGAAACUGAUUCUUCCGUACAAAUAACUUCAGCAUCCUUGAGAACAGUGUGGUGCCUAACAUGUUUACAUUAAAUUAUCAUCAGCAAUUCUGAAUUUCUGGACAAAUAAAAUCGAUUAUUUAUAAGAUGUCCUCACUUUCAGAUAUCUUAGAUGAGGAAUAAUAGCCAACGAGUACUUCUAAAAAACAAUGGGAAACCAUGAGAUCUGUGUUAAUUCUUAGAAAAAGUGUUACACCUUUUACCUCAUUUAUUUCAGGAUUCGCUGGCCACAGUUAACAUGCUUCGAACACGCACUGGAGAAAAUCAAAACAACAGAAGGUAUUCAUUACCACAGUACCAAAAAUAAUCAUACACAGGUUAGUUUACUGGAAUAUUCAAAUUAUAACAAGAUAUAAUGCAGGAAUAUGCGGCGUCGUCAAGCAGUCCAAGUACCCGAGCAAGCAGCCUCCAAACAAGCGACACUACAAUCUAAUGAUAGUCAAUCAGAUAUCAUUAGAGCAGCAACGAAGGAAGCUAGGCAGAAAAGGAAAGAGAUACUCGAGCUGAAAAGGAGCAAACGACUAAGGACAGAAAAGGACAAUGCGUGUGAAGUAUCGAAUGUAGCGAAGGAUGUCACUCAAGUUACAUAUUUUGGAAAACCAAAUUGUGUUUGUGAAUUUUGCAAUGCCAUUAUGUGGCAUGGAGAGAGAAGCACAAAGACAGGUAACAUCACAAUUCCAAAAUUUGGUCUGUGCUGCAAGGAAGGGAAAGUAAAAUUACCACCACUGAAACAAGCUCCGCCAGCUACUACGUUACAAUGAAAGAGGAGAAUCAUCAAAUUUCCGCCAGAACAUCAGGUUGUACAACUCAAUGUUCGCAUUCACGUCAAUGGGAGGAAAGGUUGACUACGAGAUUAAUAAGAAAACAUCUGGACCAUAUGUUUUCCGUUUGAAUGGCCAGAACUACCAUCAGAUUGGCACUUUACUUCCUAAAGAUGACGCGACGAAACCAAAAUUUGCCCAAUUGUACAUACAUGACACUGAAAAUGAAGUGCGAAACAGGAUUAAUGCAUCAACUUCAAUGGAGAGUAAAACACAGCGAGAUGAAAACAUUGUCAAAGGACUACUAGAGAUGCUUGAUGAGCACAAUGUUUUAGUGAAAUCGUUUCGUAUGGCAAGGGACAGAUUCGAAAACCAACAUAUUAAAGAUGUAAGACUAAGAUUGAUCAACAAAAGGUCGAAAGAUGGACGGUAAUACAACCUACCAUCUCCCUCAGAAGUCGCUGCACUAAUUAUCGGGGAACAAGAUGGAGAAAAUAAUGAAUUUGAUAUAAUAGUUGAGACCAAAGAGAGAAUGUUACAAAGGAUUUCAGAGUUGCACCCAAGCUAUAUGUCAAUGUAGUACCCCUUGCUUUUUCCAUAUGGAGAAGAUGGUCUCAGACUAGAAAUAGAGUAUGAAAAUAAAAGAGGCAACAAAGGUAAAAGAAAGUAUGUAACAAUGCUGGAGUUUUAUGCGUAUCGCAUCCAGCAACGUCUGAACCAAGCAGCAACCUUACAAAUGAGUGGGCGUUUGUUCCUACAGUUCUUAGUUGAUGCAACAACGUGCAUUGAACAAUGGAGACUAAAUUGGUACAGGACAAAUCAAGGGAAGUUGAGGACAGAACUGUACAGAGGACUGCAUGAUGCAAUAGAAAAUGGAGAUACAAGAACUGAACAAGUUGGACAAAGAAUUAUAUUACCCUCAUCAUAUAAUGGUAGUCCGAGAAAUAAACAGCAAAACUACCAAGAUGCCAUGGCGAGAUUUGUCGUUGGGCUGGAUAUCCUGAUCUCUUCAUCACUUUUACAUGCAAUUCGAAAUGGCCGGCAAUACAAGAAAUGUUGGAUCUGAUUCCAGGCCAGAAACCUGAAGAUCGUCCAGAUAUUGUUGCCAGAGUAUUCAUGUUAAAACUGAAGGAACUUAUGAAUGACAUAAAAAAGGGGAAGUGUUUUGGACAAACAAUUGCAAGUAAGUUUACCUACUAAGUACAUAUUCACUNNNNNNNNNNNNNNNNNNNNNNNNNNNNNNNNNNNNNNNUUUCCUAGAUUAUUGUCCCAAAUCACUUCUUCUCAAAUUUGUUUACUUUCAUGUAGUUGUCUACACUAUAGAGUUUCAAAAAAGAGGCCUCCCGCAUGCACACAUAUUGGUGUUCCUACACCCAGAUGAUAAAGAUCCCAGUCCUUCCCAGAUCCACAAAAUCAUAUCAGCUGAAAUUCCUGACAAGAAUACUGAUCCAGACGGGUACGAAGCAGUGCAAAAUUACAUGAUGCAUGGUCCAUGUGGUCAAGCAAACCUAAAAUCACCAUGCAUGGUUGAUAAAAGUUGUGCGAAACAUUUCCCCAAGACUUUUUGCACUGAGACUACCAUAGAUGAAGAGAACUAUCUACUCCCUCCGUUCCAAAAUAUAAGACCUUUUAGGGAUUUCACUAGGAGACUACAUACAGAGCAAAAUGAGUGAAUCUAUACUCUAAAAUAUGUCUAUGUACAUCCGUAUGUAGUUUAUAGUGCAAUGUCUAAAAGGUCUUAUAUUGAGGAACGGAGGGAGUAGUAUAUAGAAGACGAGAUGAUGGCAACACUCUGAACAAGAAUGGAGUGAAGCUAGACAAUAGAUUUGUUGUGCCAUACAGUAGAAAACUACUGGUGAAGUAUGAACCACACAUAAAUGUUGAAUGGUGCAACAGAUCAAGAUCUAUAAAGUAUUUAUUUAAAUACAUCCACAAAGGGGAAGAUCGAACAACCGUCUUAAUAGAAGCAGAAGAGCAACAAAGAGAAACAAGAGCUGCCAAAUUAACCAACAGGGACGACGAAAUCAAGAGGUACCUUGAUGCCCGCUACAUAUCUCGAUGUGAGGCCGCAUGGCGCAUAUUUUAGUUUCCUCUUCAGUAUAGAGAGCCUGCGGUUGAAAGGUUACAAUUUCACCUACAAAACGAACAUGUUGUCGUGUUCCCGGAUUCAAUGGAUUUAGAUCAAAUUGUAUCUCGGCCUAACAUUGAAAAGACAAUGUUCACAGAAUGGAUGACAACCAACCAGUUGCAUGGGGAAGCUCGCAGUUUGACAUAUGCAGAGUUUCCAAACAAAUGGACCUGGCAUGCAAAAGAUAAAGAAUGGAGGAAAAGGUGUGGUGGAAAAAAACCAUAGGCAGCGGUGAAAAAUACUACUUGAGAAUGCUGCUAAAUACCGUGAAAGGAUGCAGAUCAUAUGAAGAAAUACGAACAGUUGAUGGGGUUGUACAUCCAACAUACAAAUCCGCAUGUUAUGCUCUUGGGCUACUUAAUGACGACAAAGAGUGGGAUGACUGCAUCAAGGAAGCAUCCCAUUGGGCCUCCGCUCCUCAAAUGCGCCAACUUUUUUGCACAAUACUUUUAUUUUGCAAGGUGACGGAUCCUGCAAAGUUGUGGCAAACAAAUUGGGAGUUACUAUCGGAGGAUGUUCAACAUCGGCAAAGAAGAAUAUCAAACUUUCAGACCCUAGAACUCAAUUCAGACCAAAUGAAGAGCCUGCUCCUGGCAGAGAUAGAACAACUGCUGACUAAAGGUGGUAAAUCUCUCAAAGUUUUUCCAGGNNNNNNNNNNNNNNNNNNNNNNNNNNNNNNNNNNNNNNNNNNNNNNNNAGGAAUGCCAUUACCAGAUAGUUAUAUUCUUCAAGAUCUAAAUAAUAGAUUAGUGGGUUGGUGAUGUUAUGAGAGUAUUGUUGCAGAGAAGAUGUUUCCCCCCUCUCCGCCCCGCUCCCCUCCCUGCUCCCCAGCCGCCUAGCCUAGCCAAGCCCACCGCCACUGACGCCCUCCGCCGGUGACCCUCCCGCCUACCCCUCCCUCCCCGGCCCUCGCCCUCCCCGGAGUCAUGGCCCCCGCUGACGCUGGCUGUGGCACGAGCCCCCACCACCCCGAGGAUCGCUGGAGAGACUCGGACAGCUCCUUGUCGGACUCGCGCUCCUACCGCGACGUGGUGCGCACUCCUCCACCCCCACCGCCGGCGCGCCAGCCUCCGUCCGUCCCUGCGCAGCCCCCGCGCGCCCCUGCGUCGACCCGCCUGGGGCCCCGCUCGGAGGUCCACCGCGCGGCUGAUGUGGCCGUGGACGCGGUAGACGCCGGCGACGCCUAGGAGCUGCCGAGGAGCAAUCACCACGCCGCCCCCGCCGCACGGACGCCCCCACGCCGCGUCUCCGUCACAACCCCACGCCGGAGGAGGCCGCCGGCCUCCGCUUCCGUUGCCUCGACCCCAACCACACCGUCCGCAACUGCACGAACCAGGUCCGGUGCCGGCGCUGCCUCCUCAACGGCCACGAGUCUAGAAAAUGCACGUCGGAGCGUCUCGCCAGGGACCGCGCUCUGCUGCCGGCGACCACUCCGCCCCAGCAGCGCGAAACCCCGCCGCGGCCCAGCCAGCCCCCGUGCGCCACGACGCCCGCCGUCGGCCCUGUGGAGCAGCCGCGCGUCUUCAUCCCGCGCUCCGUCGAGAUCGAGGAGGCGGAGGCGGUGCUGCAGCGCGGGAUGGUGGCCACCAUCACUGGCUCCAGGCCGCCAGUUACAGCCGACGAGGUCGCGGACACACUCUUCGCCAACCUCGAGGUGCACCCCGGCGACUUCUCAGUCCACAUCCACCACCCGGAAGACUUCCUCAUCAUCUGUGCCUCCCAGGCCACCAAUGACCGCAUCUAUGGCGACCACCACAUUGAAGGCCCCUCCUUCACGCUGUCUCUCCGCCCCUGGAGCAAGCUAGCCCACGCCGGCUCCGAGAGCCUAGAUCACCGCGUGGAGCUCGAGCUCCGCAGCAUCCCUGCGCAUGCGUGGAACCUGGACACCGUGGAGCGCAUCCUUGGCGACUCCUGCUGGGUCGAGCGCCUCCAUCCAGGGACACGUUCCCGGAUGGACCUCACCACCUUCCGGCUCUCCGAGCGCACCCGCGACCCGGCGUCCAUCCGCCGCCAUGCCACCCUCGAGAUCGUGGAGACCAUCCCAGCGCGCGUCCCCUCCCAGGCGCCCGCGGUGCGCACUCUCACGCACCGAUGGCCGUGGCCCGGAUCGUCACCACGGGCGCAAGCGUCGCCGCCCUAACGCGCCAGCCACGCCUGCCGGCCACGCCUGCGACACCACCCUCGACGCCCUGACCUGGUCGGCCGCAGGGGGCUCGCGUCGGGCCGACGGGGUCGCCAUGGAGACUGACUGGCGCAUCGUCGUUUCCCGCUCUCGUACGGCGCCGCCGCCACCCCAAUCGGGGCCCGCCACCAACGCGAGGAGGAUGUCACCAUGGCCUGGCCAGGACGGGGCCCGCCGUCCUCGUCGUCGAGCCAAAAGAGGAAAGUGGGUCUGGCAAAAGAAAGCCCGACAACCUGAUCCUGCAGAUGUGGACCCCCCCACGGUCCAAGCUACGACCGAACCACCUCUGGCCGGGACAGCUGGCGCCUCCUAGUCCAUAAGCCGCCCAACCACGCCAGCUUCGGGGCCCGCAACUCCUGUGCACCGUUUGUCGCCUCCCUCGCAUGACCAGGAGCUGACCUGCGCCUCGCCAGGAACGCGUGUCUCGCGGACCCGCUCGCCACCAGAUCCCAUGAUUGGCAGCUGCGACAUGGUCCCGGAUUCGCAUCCAGACAAUGGCGGGCCCACUGGCUCGCAGCCCCUGCCGCCCACGAUCCCCAAAGACGAUACUUUGUCGGGACAAAGCGAUUCUUUGGCGGCGUCAUCCGCUGCACCCGAGGAAGAUCCCACGUCGGGGCCAUGCGACGCUCCGGCGGCGUCAUCCGCUGGCACAACGCACAGUCCCGCGGCCCUGCCUGCGAGCGCUACUGGCCAGCCAGCCCGCGACCACGCCCCCGCGGAUUCAAAUCGCGCAUGCAACGGGCCGGGCCCCGAGGCGAGCCCACAGCAAAUGCCCUCGAUUGGGUUGGGCCGUGACGCCAACGCCGAGCCUUGCUCCGGGAUGAGGACACCCAGCCCCCUCCCUGCGGAAACGGCCCGCCCCACCCCUGACCGUUUUGCCUCGCCACCGAUCACAAUGAGGAGAGCGCGCCGGAGACCAGAGUCGCACCCAGCUCCCUGGACGCUGGGAGACUUCCUCACGGCGGCCACCGGGCAGCUUCGGGCCGCCCUGCCUACACCCGGGAAACGCCCGCGCCACCAAUCCCUCAACUUUGCGCCGCGGCGCGGCCGUUCUGCAACGACGAAGAAUGCGGCCUCGGCACCCCCCACCGCGGAGCGGCGUGCUCGCGUGCAGGUCCUGUGCACCCUGGGGAUCGUCCGGGCCGACCAGCCCAUCACGACCGAAGCUAUGAAGGCCUACGACGGGGUCUUCGCGACCGUAAUCUCGGCUGAGGUGAUCGCGGCCAUUGCCAAGCUGGUCGACCGCGAGCCACCGACGAGCCUGGCCGCGAGUCCACAUACGCCUGUACCUGUUGGCUGCCUCGUGGAGGUCUAACCUGUAGUUGUUUCCCAUCCUCGAACAUGUUAGUUUAUGGCUUACAACCUAAAGUUUGUGAUUUGGAACGUCCGUGGCCUCAACGCAUGUUCGCGAUGCCUAGCGAUCCACUCCCUCAUGGCUACGUCCGACGCCUCGGUCGUCUGCCUACAAGAGACCAAGAUGGAACUUAUUAGUUCCUCCACUGUCCUAGAGGUGCUCGGGCCGGAGUUCGAUGGCUACCUAUACCUGCCCGCGGAAGGUACACGAGGAGGAAUCCUCCUGGCAUGGAAAAGCCGGGUCGUGACCAUCUCCGACCCAAUGCUCACCACCAACAUCCUUACCGCCAGGGUCGCUGCGCCUGAGUGUACUCCGUGGUGGAUCUCCGUGGUAUAUAGCCCCCAGGAUGACAACGACAAGAUCGCGUUCCUCCAUGAGAUCCGGGAGGUGCAUCGUGACUGCCCGGGCCCGUGGAUGAUCUGCGGUGACUUCAACCAGAUCCUGCACGACGAGAACAAGAAUAACGGGCUCUUAGAUAGGCGGAUGAUGGGCCGCUUCCGGCGCUGCGUCAACGACCUCGCACUGAAAGAGGUGUACCUCCACGGUCGCUGCUACACAUGGUCUAACGCUCAAUCCCCGCCCAUACUGGUACACCUCGACCGCGUGCUCUGCACGUCAAACUGGGAGGAUGUCGUCGGCAUAGGCCACCUGCACUGCCUCGCAUCUGUGGUUUCCGACCACAGCCCCCUCUUGCUGGACUGCUCCCCCACGCCUCUCGCCCACCGCCGUUUCCGUUUCGAGGAGUUCUGGCUACGUCUCGACAGAUUCCAGCAGACUGUGGCGCAUGCUUGGGUGUCAGUGGACGAUGAUGAUCCUUUCCGGCGCCUCCUGCUGCGCCUGCAGGUCACCGCGAAGGCGCUCACCAGCUGGCCUGCGCGGUCGGUGGGCAGCGUAAAGCACAAGCUCGCGCUAUAUGCAGGGUGCUCAUUCUCAGCUUCGACAAGGCCCAAGAGGAGCGUACGCUAUCGCCGCUGGAUGUGUGGCUGCACAAAGACCUGAAGCUGGCCUACCUGGGCUUCGCAUCGCUGGAGCGGACCAUCGCACGGCAGCGGGCGCGCAUCGCCUCGCUGCGAGAUGGGGACGCCACCACAACGUUCUUUCACUAGCAGUGCUCCUACCGCCGGCAAAAGAACACGAUCUUCAGCCUUGCCACUACAGACCGGCUCCUCACCGAACAGAGCGAGAUGUCCGAGGCCGUGUUCACGCACUUUGACGCCCUCAUCGGCACCGCCGCCGCCCGCGAGUGCACGCUAAACCUGGAGCACCUGAUCGACCCUGCCGAUGAUCUCUAGGACCUCGACACUCGAUUCACGGAGGAGGAGAUAUGGGACACCAUCAAGCGCUUGCCCGCGCGUAAAGCACCGGGGCCCAACGGCUUCACCGCGGAAUUUCUCCGUGCCUGCUGGGGCUGCAUCAAGCACGACAUCGUCGCCGUCUUCCAUCAGCUCUUCCAGCUACGGAGCAGAGGAUUCCACCGCCUCAACCAGGCCAUGCUCACGCUCUUGCCAAAGCGCCCUGAUGCCCAGGCCAUUGGCGACUAUAGACCCAUCAGCAUCAUCCAUCUGGUCGCCAAGAUAUUCGCCAAAAUGCUAUCCCUACGCUUGGCACCAAAGCUGGAAAGGUUGGUCACCAGGAAUCAAAACGCCUUCAUCGCCGGCCGCUCCCUUCACGACAACUUUGUCCUCGUCCGGCAGUCGACGCGUCUCCUACACAGAUUGCGCGCGCCCCGGGUCUUGCUCAAGCUCGACCUCGUGCGCGCCUUCGACACCGUCUCGUGGCCCUUCCUGUUCGAGGUACUCCGUCAGUACGGCUUUGGAGGCCGAUUCCUCGACUGGCUGGCCCGCCUGCUGGCGUCUGCACGCACGCGAGUACUGAUCAACGGCGAGCCAGGCCCCCCUAUUUGGCAUCACCGAGGGCUGCGGCAGGGGACCGAUGUCACCUCAACUGUUCGUCCUUGUUGUGGACACACUGGGGCGCCUUAUUAAGCGAGCCGUGUCGCUGGGCAUCUUGGAGCAGCUGCACCCGCACCGCCCGUCCCGGAGAUUUCGCUCUACGCUGACGACGUGGUACUCUUCUGCCACCCAUCCCGGAGUGACAUUGCUGCGAUCAAGGCGAUCCUGGAGCUGUUCGGUCGAGCCUCGGGGCUGCGCUUCAACUACAACAAAAGCUCUGCCACCAUGCUCAACUACGAUCCGGGAGAUACAAACCUGACCAUGGAGCUCCUUGGGUGCAAGAUAGCGACCCUACCGCUCACAUAUCUCGGGAUCCCCCUCACCAUCUGGCGACCCUCCAGCGCCCAGCUGCAGCCAUUGGUCGACAAGGUGGGGGGCAUGCUCCCAGGCUGGAAAUCUCGGCUCAUGAACAAAUCGGGCCGCCUCGCCCUCGUCAAGUCAGUUCUCUGCGCUAUCCCCAUCCACCAGCUCCUCGUCUUCGCCCCUCCAAAGAAGACCACCAAGCUCAUUGAAAAAAUUGAGAGAGGAUUCCUCUGGGAGAGUCGUGCCGCCGCAAACGGUGGCAGCUGCCACGUCAACUAGCGACGCAUCUGCCGGCCGCUUUCCCUCGGCGGCCUAGGCGUCCAGGACAUGGAGCACGCGGGGCUCGCCCUACGACUGCGGUGGCUCUGAUUCAGCCGUAUCGACGAGGGUCGGGCUUGGCGCUGCCUCGAUCUCCAAUUCUCCAAGGACGAGCAGGCCCGGUUCUUCGCCUCCACCACACUGGACGUGGGGGAUGGUAGAACGGGGAGAUUCUGCGAGGAUCGCCGGAUCGGUGGCCGCUCCGUCAACGAGGUCGCGCCAAGGCUAUACGCUUGCAUCCCCAAGCGACGGCGCAAACAGCGCACAAUUGCAGAAGGCCUCCUCAACCACACCUGGGCUAGAGACAUCCACGGCCACCUAGGCAUCCAUGAAAUAUGCCAAUACUUGCUGCUGUGGCGCGAAACCGAAGGCUUUGUUCUCACCGAGGGACCGGACUAGCUAAUCUGGAGGUGGACUUCAAAUGGCUGCUACUGUGCGCGCAGCGCGUACCUCGUCACCUUCCAGGGCUCCACUAGCUGCGAUGCAUGGAAGCUGACCUGGAAAAGCUGGGCGCCACCCCGCGUCAAGUUCUUCCAAUGGCUUGCCAAUCUAGACAGGUGCUCGAUAGCGGACCGCCUGCGCCGUCGCGGCCUUCAACACCACCCACGCUGUGUCCUUUGCGACCAAGAGCAUGAAACGAUGCGCCACUUGCUAGUCACCUGCCCCUUCUCGCGGCAGGUGCGGCAUGACACGCUCUCCUGGCUGCGUUUGACAUGCCGGCCGCCAGACCAAGAGGCCUCCCUAAACGACUGGUGGAUGCAAACCAAGCUGGACACGCCUAAGGCUAUGCGCAAGGGCCUCGCCACGGCAACCCUCCUCACAGCAUGGAUGCUUUGGAAGCACCGCAACUCAUGUGUGUUCGACGGCGAACGGCCCUCCACUGCCGUGCUUUCGGAAAAGAUCAGAGAGAAAGCCUCCCUUUGGAUUCGGGCUGGGGCCACUGGCCUUGGGACGAUCGUGCAGCUCACCUGGGACGUGCACUAGUCUUGUGCAGGCCUUUCUUUCCUUUUCUUUUUAUUUUCUUUCUUUUGAGCCCCUAUAGCCUCCUUCUCGAAGGCAUGUACUAUACAUAUUCUCCCCCUUUUCAAUGAAAAGAAACGCAAGCCUUUGCGUUUUCCCGAAAAAUAAAUAAUAGAUUAGUAAAUGAGGAACUAAACUAUGAUAAAUAUUAUUUAAGAAUAGAGCACACAAAGUUACUACAAAAGCUAAAUCAUGAUCAGGGGAUGGCUUUUGAUGUUAUAAUAGAAUCUGUUAACAUCAGUCUUGGAAAAUUGAUUUUUGUUGACGGAUAUGGUGGAACUGGAAAGACGUUUCUGUGGAAAGCAAUCACGACAAAAUUAAGAUCUGAAGGAAAAAUAGUUCUAGCAGUUGCUUCAAGUGGUAUAGCAGCACUUCUCUUACAGGGUGGAAGAACAGCUCAUUCAAGAUUUCACAUUCCGCUCAAGAUCACUAACGAGUCAACAUGCAACAUCAAGCAAGGAACAUUUCUUGCGGAGCUAAUAAAGAAAACUUCACUCGUAAUAUGGGAUGAAGCACCUAUGACACACAAGCACUGUUUUGAGGCACUAGAUAAGAGUUUGAGAUACAUACUUCGAUUCACAUAUGAGGACGCUGAGCAUAGACCGUUUGGGGGAAUGACAGUAGUCUUGGGACGUGACUUCAGGCAAAUCUUACCAGUUAUACCGAAGGGGAAAAGGGAACAUAUUAUUUCCGCAUCGAUUAAGAGAUCCUACCUAUGGAAGAACUUUGAGGAGUACCGACUCACAGAAAAUAUGCGUCUGAAUUCAUCCGAAGGUAGUCCAGAAGAGAAAGCAAAGACAGAUGAAUUUGCAAACUGGAUACUAGACAUCGGCGAUGGAAGAACAUCAACAAUAGAUGAGGAGGAUUGGGUUAGCAUUCCAGAGGACCUUAUUUUGCAUGAAGGAGAUGACCCUAAAUCAUCUAUUGUUAAUAGCACCUACCCUGACUUAAAAAGCAAGUACACUGACAGAACAUACCUAGAGGAAAGAGCAAUAUUGUGCCCAAGAAAUGAGACCGUUGACCAGAUUAACGCCUACAUCAUGAGUCAAAUUCCUGGAGAAGAGGUAACCUAUUUCAGUUCAGAUACAACAUGCAAGGCAAUGUCUACAGUGCAAGAUGAAGAUAUGUUGUACCCAACUGAGUUUCUGAAUAGUCUAACAUUUUCUGGAAUACCAGAUCAUGAACUGAGGCUGAAAGUAGGAUUACCAAUAAUGCUUAUGAGGAACAUAAAUCAAAGUGCAGGACUUUGCAAUGGGACAAGGCUAACAAUAACACAGCUAGGAAAGCGAUUCAUCGAAGGCCGGGUCAUAACAGGUACUAACGUUGGUGACAAAUUUACAUUCCACGAAUUAUCAUGUCACCAAGUGAUUCAAAAUGGCCUUUCAUUCUGAAAAGGAGACAAUAUCCAAUAUCAGUGUGCUUUGCUAUGACUAUAAACAAAAGCCAGGGGCAAUCUCUCAAAAAGGUUGGACUCUACUUACAAAGGAAAGUGUUCACACAUGGACAACUCUAUGUUGCAAUGUCAAGGGUGACCAACAGAAAUGGAUUGAAGAUACUCAUAUCGGAUNNNNNNNNNNNNNNNNNNNNNNNNNNNNNNNNNNNNNGGAUGAAGAGCGUCCAUCCGAUAACGUUGCCAAAAACAUUGUUUACAAGGAUAUAUUAUAGAUAGUUGGAUUCGAACAGCUAUAAUUACAACAAAUAUUCGAGUAAGAGCAUAGCAGACUUAUUUGUUUCAAAUUGUUAUCUCUUAAAUAUUUUAUCUGUCAGCAACAUAUUUCUUUCUCCAUAUACAACUAAGAAACAAUAUUCGAGUAAGGACUCACAACUGAUUUCACAAAAUCAAUAUCAAUUAUGUAUGCAUCAAGGAUGUGCUUCUAAAAUCAACAAGGCAUAACCAUGAAAAUAGAUAUACUACUCCCUCUGUUCAUCAACAUAAUACGACCGGACUGUGUUAGACUGUUUGCUGGGUUGAUGUGUCAAUGAAGGCCUGCUUGCUGAUGAGCUGAUGCUAAGUAAACGUACCGCUGCAUCCCAUGUUUCCAGAUGUGGCAAAGACAACUUGAUUGACACAAGUUUGACUUAACGUGCUAAACAUUUCCAUUUAAAAAGAAGAGCUGUUGUUUGGACAAUUAGCGUGCGUGUCUUUUGGAUUUCAGUAGUACAAUCUCAUAAGUGUCGGCUUUCUAUGUAUCACCGAUGAGAAAGAUCCAAUGCGGACAUAGAAAUUUAUGUCAUAUACCCGUGCACAUAUGUAUGCUGCCUAAUGGAAAAUAUUUACUCCAUCCGUUUCUAAAUAUUUGUUUUUUUAAAGAUUCAACUAAGGACUAUAUACUGAGCAAAAUGAGUGAACUUAUGCUCUAAAUUAUGUCUAUAUACAACCGUAUGCAGUCCGUAGUGAAAUCUCUAAAAAGACAAAUAUUUAGAAACGGGGGGAGUACAAUACACACUUUAGUUCAACCAUUCUCCUUUUAGAGAUUUCAUAAAAUAUGUAUCACCUACAGAUGUAGUGUAGACGACCUUUCUUUAUUACAUGCCAAUUCAUAUCAGAUUAAAAUAUUAGAAAAAGGUAAUUUGGUAACCGUAAUAUGCAUGUCAUCUAAACCUCUGUUAAUUGAACAGAGCAUACCAAUAAAUGGAGAUAUUUAGAAGAGUAAUAUAUAUUUUCCAAAUGUUGACUUCUGCGAAAGAAUGAAAUAACCAAAAGAAAGAAGAUGCGGGAGAUUUUACUGAACGAGAUAGCAAACAAUCACCUGAUUACAGUACGCGUAUGCUGCCAAUGCUUAUAAUAGAUGAACAAGAUAAGCUCCUUUGUUUGAUGAAUGGAUAAGAGAAGCCGCUGCUGUUUUUGGAUGUGGAAAAUACGCUAAGAUUCUAGAUUCAGCAGGGACGACCUAGCACACGGAAAAGGAGAACGGCCGAAUGGCCGAAUGACGAUGCGGUUCGCCGCUGUUGUUGCUGGAUGUGGAAAAUAAGCUAAGAUUGCAGAUUCAGCAUGGACGGCCUAGCACACGGAAGAAGAUUAAACUGGGUACUACCUCAAGCGUUCCUGAAUCGCUGGAAGGUGCUUGGUCUUGAGUAGAAUAGGUGUCACAGUCCUUUCUCUUCCUUUAAGGUCGCAACUGCUGAAAAAACAUAGACCAUUUAGAAAUAUACUCCUUUCAUCCGAAAAUGAUUAAAAAAUCAGGAUAAUAAUUUCUACAAUUUGCCUCAAGAGUUUACGAAGGAAUUCUAAAAUCAACCGUUAUCGACCAAAGUGGUAUGUUAAGGACCGUAAUGCUAAUUUU